AUAGAGCAACAGUUUCUAUGUUGUCUAAAUUGCCCCCGAUAAUCUUUUUACUGGUCCAAAAAGUGAAACAAGAUUAUCGGGGGUUGUUUUU
rnacentral:antisense_RNA from 1 species